AACGUAGGACACGAGCGUUAUCCGGAGUUACUGGGCGUAAAGGGCGCGUAGGCGGCCUUCUAAGUCGAACGUGAAAUCCCCGGGCUCAACCCGGGAACUGCGUCCGAUACUGGAUGGCUUGGAUUCGGGAGAGGGAUGCGGAAUUCCAGGUGUAGCGGUGAAAUGCGUAGAUAUCAAGAGGAACACCUGCGGCGAAGGCGGGUUGCUGGGCUGACACGUGACGCUGAUGCGCGAAAGCUAGGGGAGCGAACGGG
rnacentral:rRNA from 1 species